UCGAACGCUAGCGGCAUGCCUUACACAUGCAAGUCGAACGGCAGCACGGGGGCAACCCUGGUGGCGAGUGGCGAACGGGUGAGUAAUGCAUCGGAACGUGCCCAUCGAUGGGGGAUAACUGCGCGAAAGCGUUGCUAAUACCGCAUACGACCUACGGGUGAAAGCAGGGGACCGCAAGGCCUUGCGUCGAUGGAGCGCCGAUGCCGGAUUAGCUAGUUGGUGAGGUAAAGGCUCACCAAGGCGACGAUCCGUAGCUGGUCUGAGAGGACGACCCAGCCACACUGGGACUGAGACACGGCCCAGACUCCUACGGGAGGCAGCAGUGGGGAAUCUUGGACAAUGGGCGAAAGCCUGAUCCAGCAAUGCCGCGUGUGGGAAGAAGGCCUUCGGGUUGUAAACCACUUUUGGCGGGAAAGAAAUGGUCUGUGCUAAUACCACGGAUUGAUGACGGUACCCGCAGAAUAAGCACCGGCUAACUACGUG
rnacentral:rRNA from 1 species